UGGGGAAUAUUGCACAAUUGGCGCAAGCCUGAUGCAGCCAUGCCGCGUGUAUGAAGAAGGCCUUCGGGUUGUAAAGUACUUUCAGCGGGGAGGAAGGCGAUAAGGUUAAUAACCUUGUCGAUUGACGUUACCCGCAGAAGAAGCACCGGCUAACUCCGUGCCAGCAGCCGCGGUAAUACGGAGGGUGCAAGCGUUAAUCGGAAUUACUGGGCGUAAAGCGCACGCAGGCGGUCUGUCAAGUCGGAUGUGAAAUCCCCGGGCUCAACCUGGGAACUGCAUUCGAAACUGGCAGGCUAGAGUCUUGUAGAGGGGGGUAGAAUUCCAGGUGUAGCGGUGAAAUGCGUAGAGAUCUGGAGGAAUACCGGUGGCGAAGGCGGCCCCCUGGACAAAGACUGACGCUCAGGUGCGAAAGCGUGGGGAGCAAACA
rnacentral:rRNA from 1 species